UGUGGGCGGCUGAGGACCGCCGGCUGCCCGGCUCGGAGAAGAACAGGUGCAGUGGCUCACACCCAUAAUCCCAGCACUUUGGGAGGCCAAAGCAGGUGGGUCACUUGAGGUCAGGAGUUCAAGACCAGCCUGGGCAACAUGGCGAAACCCCGUUUCUGCUAAAACUCAAAAAUUAGCCUGGAACUCUCUCUUCUAUUCUCAGAGUCUACAAAAUGCAUUAUUGAAAAGGCAGGAAGAAAACCGGGCUUUAUCAAGAAAGUCGCAUGCGCUUGACUGAGGGACUUUCCCUUUCGUCCGGCGAAGGUCUGGUGAGUCCAAUGGGGGAGUGGAAUUCGUUCCGGUGAUCCUCUCGGUCGCUCCCGUCGUACGAACUGCUACAGCUGCUCAAGCUGUCAACAGGAGAUCUCCCCGCCUCGUGGCGCGUGUGUUGUGGGUAUCUCGAAGGGGUGGUGGUACGGUCUCU
rnacentral:antisense_RNA from 1 species